UGGGAAAAUCCACACCGCCCGCCGGCCCCACAUCGGGUGGACCACAGCAGGAGCUGUCCUGGCCGGAGCCCGAAACCAGGGGACGGGGCCCAUCUGCCAGGAGGGAGGGAGCUAGGGACGUGAGGACCGUCCAGAGGCGGGAGACGAGCACCCGAAGAUCAGAUGGAAAAUGAGAGGGAGGGGAGGGGAGUCCGACAUGAGAGUUUGUAAAACUGAGGACAGAAGGAAGUGGACGUCUUCGAGGAAAUUCUCCGCUGCUCUGAUGGAUUCCAAGAGACCAAGGGGGUCCUGUCUUGAUCCUCCGUGUCUCUCACUCACGCCUUCUCCUAGGCAGAGGGCAGGGAAGCAGCCCUGAAAGGCCCUGCCUCUUUGGCAGGUGUCCUGAGACAGCCAGCUGCCGCCGGCGGCCCUUGAUUCACAAGCUGCUCCUGGCCAAGGCGGGCGUGUUGGCUCGGAGGAAACCGCCUGUGAUCCCAGAGCUCUCUGAAGCCUGCUAGGAACUGCCGCUCGCCCCCAGAGCUUGAUCUCGGCCUCUGAUGCGGAAGGUGCCAGUGAGAAGCCGGGGAGCUCGGUGUUCAACGGCCUCUGCUAAGAAAUAGGCACAGGGCAGUUACAGAACUGGCUGGAGAAUAAGGAACUUAAUUGGCUGUUUAAGGCUGAAAACGGUUUUUUUUUUUUUUUUAAAUUAGGAGCUUAGAUUGCUACCCAAACUCAGUGAUGAGGAUAAUUGGAGUGAGGGCCUGGGUGGCCUUUUGAGGACUCCGUUCAAUUGUCACGGCUAGCAAAAAUGUCAGCAGAAGAGCACAGUGCAAGGAAGGCGGGGCGGCGGGGGACAGUCCUUUGGUGCCUCCUCUACUGACGACCACAGAGAGCAAAAGCUGCCUGCGCCAGCAGGCGGGUGCGGGAGCCUUGGUGAUGAGUCAGGAACCGGGAUCGCUGUUCUCAUCGUCCUAACCGUCAAGGGGGAGACUCCGGGGCACUCGGCCUCCUGUGUGCACAGUGGCUUCAGGCAACCUGGGCUCCCCCAUUUGGCCCCGAGGCUGCUCCUGCCCGCCAGUGCCCACCAGUGCCCAUCAGCGCUCGCCAGUGCCCGCCAGUGCUUGUGUCCAGCAGAAGCACAGGCCUCCUGGCGUCUGCUGAAUGGGGCCGGCUGCACAGAAUCGCCCUUCCUACUGUUUACUGUGUCUCUUCGCCCGGAGUGUUUGGCGGGAGCUGCAAAAUCCAUGCUUAGCAGAGAUUCUUAGGACUCGGCGGUCAGCUGGGUUCUGGUCUAAGAAGGCUCGGUGAACUCCAGUACCCGGGUCGGCGGAGCCUGCAGCGUCAGCAGCCCCAGCCGAGUCCUGCCACGCUAGCUCCAGUCUGGGAGGUCGCGCACUCCUACACAAAUAGCACUGCAGGGAGAGGCUGACCUGAAAAGCCAGGGAGACGGGGAGCCGACCUCGGGCACGCCACUGUUGCUGCAAACCAAUCUCAUUAGUGGCCGCUGAGGAAACAACCAUCGGGUAUCCAAUACGAUCCCCCAAGGGCCCCCCCAGCCUCCCUGGAGCUGGAUGUCCCGGCGGGUUCCUGCCAAGUCCGGUGCCAGAUGCUGGGACAAGUUACCGUGGAUCCCCACAUGAACUUCCGAGUGGCCUCCCAAGGUCCAACCCUACUCUACUCGCUCCCCUCCAUUCUCCACGCUGCGUUCAGCGAGCUUUUGAGGAAGCACAUAAGACGGCUGCUUUGCACUCGAAAUCCGACUUUCUAACGAUGGCCUAGGGAGGCCUCUCUGAUCUGGCCCUUGACUCUUCUACAGCCUGACUGGAGCCCCUUGCCUUCCAGCACCCCAUGCUCUCGCUCGGGCAUCAGCGAAGGCUGGCCUGCUGGCUGUUCUUACAAAUCACGGGCUCCUGCAACGCAGCCACGGCCGUUCUUUUACGCAGAGUCUCCGUCUGCUCUUGUGCUACUGUGGCUGACGAGAGGCUCUAGGGCACACGGAGCCCCAAAUACUGACCGUCUGGCCCCCACGGGUCUAAUCUUGAUUCCUUGAGCAGACCGACAGGUAACGAGCCGUGAGCUGAGAGGUAUACCGGCCGCUUUUACCCAGGGUUCAGUCUCUUUUGGAAUAUGCAAAAGGUAGUGACUGUGAGAAGGUGCUAGAACUGCACAGGAAGUUAACCAAGAAAUCAGGAACCUUCCUGCAAGGCCUCCCCGAGCUCUUGCUUUUUGUGGCCUGUGGAAGCCAGUGACUGAGAUUUCCCAUUGGCAGUGGCAGACGUGGUGUCAAUCUAGGAUACGAAAUACCUGAAUGGUCAGGUCGGCUGCUCUCUGGGGCCGCCACCGCCCUGUGCAGCUGGCCAAUCCCGGCUGACCCUGCAAUCCUGUCUCCUGAGCCGUGCUGGGCCGUCGCACAGUUACGCUUCCUGAAAUGAAGGCCUGGUGGAGGUUUUACUGUUCCCCAAGAUAAGGCGAGGGAGGAUCCAUUCUAACACCUAGAGGGCCUCCUGGGCACCAGGUCAAGGCACCUGGCUGUUCCAGAAGACAGGAGUAACUGCAGGGUUUGAGGCCGUGGAGGAUUCAAAGUUACUUGCUGGAUUCUUUAAAGAGGAAAGAAUCACCAAGUUCCCCCAAGGCCACUUUCAAAUCCAUGUAUCCCUGUCAAAAGCUCUCCAGACACCGAACACAGGUCAGAGAGCUCAGGCAAGCAUUUUUAAACCCUAAUGGGGCUGUGUUAAAACCAGCCAGGGAAGAAGUCAAAGCCUUCUGGAGCUGAGAGAAGAGCCAAGCUGGCCUCCUCGGGGAGAGAAGAGCCUGCAGAGCAUCUGUGUCUUCUCAGCUAGGACAGCUUGGUCUUCCUUGACCUUGACACUUGGGAAGAGACCGAGCAGUUAUUCUGGAGACUGUCCCUCCGUGUGGGCUUUUCUGAUGUAGCUUCACGAUCAAAGAGAAGACGUGAAGGCAUGUUCCCGGGAAGAUUGUCGCCGAGGUGCUGCGUCCUGUUCAGUGUGUCCCACCAGAGGAUGGCUGCGGCGCGCCCACGGCUGGUGUUCACCACGGUCAUCUGGUCAACCGAAGGUGCCACCUGGCGACAAUCUUCACCGUCCAGUCUCAGCUUUUCCUUUUGGAGUUCAUACCAUCUUGGAGGAGAGCCUUUGAGACGAUGCGACGAUCCUGUCCUUGCUUAGACUUCAGACGUCCCCCCAGCACUGGUAUUCAUCAGAGAUCUUGUCCACAGCGAUGACGACAGUCCUGUUCUCAUGGUGCUUCUCAGGUUCCCUCAUACCUUCUCCAUUCACCACCUGGAAUUUGUCUGUAAGGACGAUCCGCCCCUGCCUCCCAUUUAUUUAUUUAUUUGGUUAUUUAUUUAUGUCAGAGAGACUCAUGAAUAUUUAUUUUACUCCCCAAGCUAUGAUCCAAUACUAUUAUUAUUUGAUUUGUGACA